rnacentral:rRNA from 16 species
GAUGGGUAGUUUGACUGGUGCGGUCGCCUCCUAAAGGGUAACGGAGGCGCCCAAAGGUUCCCUCAUCCUGGUUGGUAAUCAGGUGGUGAGUGUAAGUGCACAAGGGGGCUUGACUGUGAGACUGACAGGUCGAGCAGGGACGAAAGUCGGGACUAGUGAUCUGACGGUGGCUUGUGGAUGCGCCGUCACUCAACGGAUAAAAGGUACCCCGGGGAUAACAGGCUGAUCUUGCCCGAGCGCUCAUAGCGACGGCAUGGUUUGGCACCUCGAUGUCGGCUCGUCACAUCCUGGGGCUGGGGAAGGUCCCAAGGG